rnacentral:rRNA from 1 species
CAUGUAUCACUGUAGGGGGUAGAGCACUGUUUCGGCUAGGGGGUCAUCCCGACUUACCAAACCGAUGCAAACUCCGAAUACCUAUGAGUACUAUCCGGGAGACAGACUGCGGGUGCUAACGUCCGUAGUCAAGAGGAAAACAAUCCAGACCGCCAGCUAAGGCCCCAAAAUCAUAGUUAAGUGGGAAACGAUGUGGGAAGGCAUAGACAGCUAGGAGGUUGGCUUAGAAGCAGCCACCCUUUAAAGAAAGCGUA